rnacentral:lncRNA from 1 species
UCCAAAAGAAGUUAAACCAAAAGAAGUUAAAUUAAAAGCGCCCAUCCAUAAAAAAAAGUGAGGGUGAACAAAGGCCUCCUGUUGUGAAUCGUCGCAUUUUUGUAAGAAAAAUAAUCAUAUUCAAAACGUAAUAAUCACUUUUAUCUAGCUUGCGCUCACGGUUGUAAAACGCAAGCAGUUCCGGGUGAAUGGCGUAUGGAGGACCCCAGCCGGCACAUGACCGACCUUCAACGUUGAAAUAUGGUUGAAAUAAGGUCAGUUGUGGUUUCAACGUUGAAACAACGUUGAUUCAACGUUUAAAGCUGAAUGGUUGAAAAACAUCCAGCACAUGACCAACUUUCAAUGUUGAAAUAUGGUUGAAAUAAGGUCAGUUGUGGUUUCAACGUUGAAACAACGUUGAUUCAACGUUUAAAGCUGAAUGGUUGAAAAACAUCCAGCACAUGACCAACUUUCAACGUUGAAAUAUGGUUGAAAUAAGGUCAGUUGUUUUAAUAAAACAACGUUAAAAAUGUUUAAUGCUAAAUGGUAGAAAAAGGUUAACAAGCUUUUAAAUUAUUUAUAUUAAAUUAUUUAAAUUAAUUAUUAUUUUAAUAGCAUUUAAAAAUAUUUUAGUCAUGAUACCUAUUCUAAAAUGUUAAAUAUUAUCAUCAUUAACAACAAUAAAACUAUACAUUUCGCUGCUUUAUCACACUGAAACAACUCCCAUUGGUAGUUUUAUUUUAUUACUUCUAUCGUGAUUGGUUAAUCUGGCUGUCAUUCAAGAAACUGGACAAUGAAUCGGUUCGCGCUUUUCUACAUUUAAAAAUAUGACCGUUAUUGUCGUCUUUCUGUGAGUGAGGCGGCUAACUGUGAGCUGCUGCUCGUUAUAACUGACUGCUCGGUCGGUCCCGAAUUAUGUCAUAUUUGCCUGUAUAUUUUUUAUUUAUUUCGAGCGAAUUUGAGUCGUGACAUGUCAAUGGAGAACAAAAACUGUGAACACAAGAAGGGUCAGGUGUUCUGCGAGGUCCUGAAAACAUCCUGUCAAAAUGAGAUGAUCAAGUUAGAUGCUCACCUAAUGUGUUGCUGAGUCAUCGAGGAUCCAGCUUGUUCUUUAAACAUUGGUAAGAAAUUGUUCUUCUGCUACAUUGCACUGUCACUUCUGCUAGAGAUGCUUUGACCUUUUGUGAUAGGUUUUGGUUGUGCUUAGUUUAAUAAAAAUGUACUGAAUUUGAUUUGACUUGUUUUACUACACUGUAAUGUUAGUGUUCUGAUUAAAACAGUGUAACUGGGGGCUCUGAAAACACUGCUUGUGAAUAAUGUGUUAAUAUUGUACAUUUUCAUCUGAAUACAUUAAAUAAGUGUUUAAUGAAUAGUGUUGUCCACUUUGUUUCCAACCUCACUGUUACUGAACUGUAAAGUGAAAAUAUUGUGUGAUUUAUUUUGCAUUCAGUUUUCAUUUAAAUAUAUUUCACAAUAUCAAAGUUAUUGUCAAACAUUGUGAACAUACCU